UGGUAGAUAGGUGUCCAGGAACCGACUUGUAAAGCGGGAGACCACCAGUUUUUAUACCGUUGAUGGUUAGGGUUAACAGUGCAAGUCCAUGUCCUUGUAGGAUACGAAAAUCUACUAAAUUACUCUCUUCUUCAUCUUCCUCGUCUUCGUCUCUUCCACUUGUUCUUCGCGCUAUUCUCUUUCACACAAUCUGUCAAGCAACUCAUCGUCCUUUUCCUUCUACUUCUCCUUCUUCUUCUUCGUACUGCUUUAGAAAAUGUCUCAGUUAUUCUCUACUCUUCUCUUCGGGGAUAACGAAGAAUUUGAGUCUUUCUUGGGUGACGAGCUUAAGGGUUUCAUGGGGCGACUCUCAGGUUCCCAAGAGUCCUCCCCUGCGUUGCGCUUACCGCUAAUGGUUUUGAUGGGCAACGACGAAGAUGCUUUGGCGAUGGCGGAAUUAGCUACUGAUGAAGAUGGUCCAAAUACACAGCCCGCCAGUGCCCAACUCUUUGAAAAGCUCGAGGUGAUCAGAAUCGAAGAAUCGGGUUUGGUGUGCUCGAUUUGGUUGGGCCAAUUGUCGAUCGAGUCGGAAGCUAGGCGGUUGCCGUGUUCACGUGUCUACCAUGGCAACUGCAUCAUGGAGCGGCUGAAGAAGAGUAAGACUAAGACUAAGACAUGCCCUCUUUGUCGAUUGUGUUGAUCGAUCGCUUGAUAAGUGAAUUGGAUGACUACUCAGGAGAACUUAAUAUUCCAUGUCCUGCCGUUGCUCGUUCGAGCUUAUGAUGAUACUGAUCUGCGCAUUCAAGAGGAAGUCCUGAAAAAUCUGCGUCUCUUGCUAAGCAACUCGAUGUUCAGGUGAUUGCCAUUUGUAUGGAUUUGUGUGCCUGCAUGUGUUUAUGCAGACAACAUAUUCUAUUCAUGUAUGUGAAUGCAAAUUUUCAUUUUCACAUAUUGGUUGCUUUCAUCCUUGCCUUGGAAGCUGGUGAAAAUUUGCAGCAGUGUCCUAAUAUGACAAUUACAUGGUGAUUGACAGUCAUAAUCCAGAAACUAUAAGUUCAAAUUGAUGCCCUGGAGUGGAAAUGAAAAAUUCUUUUAUUUAUGUUCUAAAAUGUAACAAUUAUUUUUAUUGGGGAUCUAUUCAAUCUGUUGUUCAUUUCAAUUGUAUUAUUGUUUUUUUUUUAUAUGACUGGUUUUUUUUUUUUUUUUUUAAGUAUUGUCAAUAUGCUUUCUUUUUUCCCUGCAGAUUUUAGGAGUUUCUGUAGGUUGAUUAAAAGUGUUUCAUGGCAUAUAAGGAACAUCUUAAAAUAUCAAAGGAGAGAGAGAGAAAGAUAAUAAGAAAAAUGAUGAAAGGAGCAAAGUGAUAUAAUCCAAUUUGAAUAGCAACAAAUAAAAACGCCUAAAAGACAUUAUUCGAGAUUGCAGAGAAAAAGGCGUCAUAAUCGAUGAUCAAUAAGAAUGGAUUUUUGAUAGUAUUUCAAACUCUUAAUUGGAUUUUUUAGAGAAUCUCUAAUCAAGCCUGAAAGAUGGAACAAGAUCCGUUUUGCAUCAUUUCUAAGGGACUUUUAGUUAGGCCCAGGAAGCAAUGUCACUGAUCGUUAUCAAAUUGAGCAGCAAUCAUUUUUGGCAUCUUAAUAACUAAAGUUCAAUGUUUGCCUAGCUUUUUCCUUCAUAUAGAUUUCACAUAUGCAUACUAUAGGAAAUAGUAUGUAAUUCUUCAAACUGAUUCUUGUUCAUGGUGCUUGACAUAUUAUUUCAUGUGUGAUCCUUUGACAUGUUAAUUCACGCGUGAUUCUUUGGCACAUUAAAAAUGUCUGACCUGUCAAGGCUAUGAAAGCUAUUUGUGGAGGAAGGUUGUCACUGAGAAGCUUAAUGGAUGGGUGUCCAAACUAGGUGUCGAUUUUCUUUGAGAUGGGGGCUCAGCUCUAUAUUUUGUUUUCUGCAAUGAUAUUCAACAUAUUGAUCCCACUUUUAAAUUCAAAUCCCAUAACAUUUUUGCUAGCUAUUGUGAGAACUUGAACAGUUUUUGCACGAAUGUUAUAAACAAGAAUAUAUCACAGGAUGCCAGUCUUAACUGAAUACAAUAGUGGGAGCUUUAUUUCUUCUCUAGUUUUUCCAGUUGUGGAUAGUAUGAAAAAUUAGUGGAUCAGGGAGGAUACUGUUAGGUGGACAAUGAAAAAUCGGAAUGGUUUUAUUUUAAGCCCUUCACUCAUAAGGUAAGUGAGGCUUUCAAUCCUGAUGGAAAGCUUAAUUUUUCAUGUAGACGCAUUUAAAAUAUGAGAAUCCAUCUAAAGUGGCUUUUUUCUGUGAAGCAUCUCAUAGAGGAUCUUAAUCACUGACAGUCUCCUUAGAAGGAAGCAAGGUGUUUUUUUUUUUUUUUUUUUUUUGGUCUUUGGAACAGAUAUUUUUUAAUGAACAUAUUGUUUCUGAUUAAGCAGGUUCCUUUUCAUGUGUGUAAGCCUGCCUUAAUUUUGAGCUUGUAUCCCUUUGCACCUUUGUGCAGAUUAAUAAUAUUCUUUUUUGUCUUAAAAAAUAAAAAACUGUAUAAACUGGCAUAAUAAAAUAUGCUGAUGGGAGGUAGGCUUUGUCAUUUCAUUCUAGAAUUUGCACAAUUAUGGGUGUCAUAUUCCUUUAUUAGCUGUUAUGUGUAUAUUGCAGCACUGUAAGAGGGAAGGAAAAAGAAUGACAUUGCUAAGUAAUCGAUAUUUUCUUCUUCUUGGCAUGCUUUACCAGGGAUGGGUUUCCAAAGUCCAUGUCAUAUCUCUCUGUCUCUCAAUUAUAUUUUAUUCCUUGCAGCUAGUGACACAUUCAAUUUUGCCUCGUGUCCAUGGAUUAGCACUAAAAAUGACCGUUGCUGCAGUAUGCUUAUUUCUGUAUUUAUUUAUCAUUCAUAUUCAAUUAUUUUGUUUUGAUCUUUCUGCUAAUGUAGCUGAUUCUAAUGAGUUGGUCUGUUCAUGUGAACACCUAAAGAGAAAAGUUGUACCUGUGAGAGAUUUGUGAUGCAUCCAUGCUUUUUGGGUGAAUUGCAUAUAUUAAUCAGAAGCUUGGAAUUUGUUUCUAUUGUAA